UACGUAGGGUGCGAGCGUUGUCCGGAAUUAUUGGGCGUAAAGAGCUCGUAGGCGGCUUGUCGCGUCUGCUGUGAAAACCCGAGGCUCAACCUCGGGCCUGCAGUGGGUACGGGCAGACUAGAGUGCGGUAGGGGAGAUUGGAAUUCCUGGUGUAGCGGUGGAAUGCGCAGAUAUCAGGAGGAACACCAAUGGCGAAGGCAGAUCUCUGGGCCGUAACUGACGCUGAGGAGCGAAAGCCAGGGAGCAAACGGG
rnacentral:rRNA from 1 species